UGGCGGCGUGCCUAAUACAUGCAAGUCGAGCGGACAGAUGGGAGCUUGCUCCCUGAUGUUAGCGGCGGACGGGUGAGUAACACGUGGGUAACCUGCCUGUAAGACUGGGAUAACUCCGGGAAACCGGGGCUAAUACCGGAUGCUUGUUUGAACCGCAUGGUUCAAACAUAAAAGGUGGCUUCGGCUACCACUUACAGAUGGACCCGCGGCGCAUUAGCUAGUUGGUGAGGUAAUGGCUCACCAAGGCAACGAUGCGUAGCCGACCUGAGAGGGUGAUCGGCCACACUGGGACUGAGACACGGCCCAGACUCCUACGGGAGGCAGCAGUAGGGAAUCUUCCGCAAUGGACGAAAGUCUGACGGAGCAACGCCGCGUGAGUGAUGAAGGUUUUCGGAUCGUAAAGCUCUGUUGUUAGGGAAGAACAAGUGCCGUUCAAAUAGGGCGGCACCUUGACGGUACCUAACCAGAAAGCCACGGCUAACUACGUGCCAGCAGCCGCGGUAAUACGUAGGUGGCAAGCGUUGUCCGGAAUUAUUGGGCGUAAAGGGCUCGCAGGCGGUUUCUUAAGUCUGAUGUGAAAGCCCCCGGCUCAACCGGGGAGGGUCAUUGGAAACUGGGGAACUUGAGUGCAGAAGAGGAGAGUGGAAUUCCACGUGUAGCGGUGAAAUGCGUAGAGAUGUGGAGGAACACCAGUGGCGAAGGCGACUCUCUGGUCUGUAACUGACGCUGAGGAGCGAAAGCGUGGGGAGCGAACAGGAUUAGAUACCCUGGUAGUCCACGCCGUAAACGAUGAGUGCUAAGUGUUAUGGGGGUUUCCGCCCCCUUAGUGCUGCAGCUAACGCAUUAAGCACUCCGCCCUGGGGGAGUACGGUCGCAAGACUGAAAACUCAAAAGGAAUUGACGGGGGCCCGCACAAGCGGUGGGAGCAUGUUGGAUUUUAAUUCGAAGCAACGCGAAGAACCUUACCAGGUCUUGACAUCCUCUGACACCCCUAGAGAUA
rnacentral:rRNA from 1 species